rnacentral:rRNA from 1 species
UCAUAUGCUUGUCUCAAAGAUUAAGCCAUGCAUGUCUAAGUACAUGCCGUAUUAAGGCGAAACCGCGAAUGGCUCAUUAAAUCAGUUAUGGUUCAUUUGAUCGUACUAUCCUACUUGGAUAACUGUGGCAAUUCUAGAGCUAAUACAUGCAGCAGAGCUCCGACCUUCGGGAACGAGCGCUUUUAUUAGACCAAAACCAAUCGGGCCUCGUGCUCGUGAAGUGUGGUGACUCUGGAUAACUUUGGGCUGAUCGCACGGGCUUGUCCCGGCGACGUAUCUUUCAAGUAUCUGCCUUAUCAACUGUCGAUGGUAGGUUACGCGCCUACCAUGGUCGUAACGGGUCACGGGGAAUCAGGGUUCGAUUCCGGAGAGGGAGCCUGAGAAACGGCUACCACAUCCAAGGAAGGCAGCAGGCGCGCAAAUUACCCACUCCCGGCACGGGGAGGUAGUGACGAAAAAUAACAAUACGGGACUCUUUUGAGACCCCGUAAUUGGAAUGAGCACACUCUAAACAUUUUAACGAGGAUCAAUUGGAGAGCAAGUCCGGUGCCAGCAGUCGCGGUAAUACCUGUUCCAGUAGUGUAUAUUAAUGUUGCUGCGGUUAAAAAGCUCGUAGUUGGAUCUCAGUUUCGGCCGGGUGGUCCAUCUUCAUGGUGGCUACCGCCCGAGUCAAACACCAGUCGGUUUCCUUCGAUGAUCUUCACCGGUUGUCGUUGGUGACCGGCACAUUUACCUUGAAAAAAUUAAAGUGCUCAAAGCAGGCGAGACGCCUGAAUACUGUUGCAUGGAAUAAUAGAAUAGGACCUCGGUUCUAUUUUGUUGGUUUUCGGAUCACGAGGUAAUGAUUAAGAGGGACAGACGGGGGCAUUCGUACUGCGACGCUAGAGGUGAAAUUCUUGGACCGUCGCAAGACGAACUACUGCGAAAGCAUUUGCCAAGAAUGUUUCCAUUAAUCAAGAACGAAAGUUAGAGGCUCGAAGGCGAUCAGAUACCGCCCUAGUUCUAACCAUAAACGAUACCAACUAGCGAUCCGGCUGUGUUCCUCAAAUGACACGCCGGGCAGCUUCCGGGAAACCAAAGUUUUUGGGUUCCGGGGGGAGUAUGGUUGCAAAGCUGAAACUUAAAGGAAUUGACGGAAGGGCACCACAAGGAAUGGAGCCUGCGGCUUAAUUUGACUCAACGCUGGGAAACUUACCCGGUCCGGACACAGGAAGGAUUGACAGAUUGAGAGCUCUUUCUUGAUUCUGCGGAUGGUGGUGCAUGGUCGUUCUUAGUUGGUGGAGUGAUUUGUCUGCUUAAUUGCGACAACGAGCGAGACUCUAUCCUACUAAAUAGGCGUCGUCCUCCUUCAUGGGGCACGCUUCUUCUUAGAGGGACAAGCGGUUCUUAGCCGCACGAGAGAGAGCAAUAACAGGUCUGGUAUGCCCUUUAGAUGUCCGGGGCCGCACGCGCGCUACAUUGAAGGAGUCAGCGUGUGCUUUCCCGACCCGAGAGGGUUGGGUAACCCGUUGAACCUCCUUCGUGCUUGGGACAGAACCUUGUAAUUAUGGUUCUCGAACGAGGAAUUCCUAGUAAGCAUAGGUCAUCAGCCUAUGUUGAUUAUGUCCCUGCCCUUUGUGCACACCGCCCGUCGCUAAAUCCGAUUGAAAAUAUUGUUGAGGUGUUGGGACCGGAGCUCGCAUUGGCCUUCGGGUCGAGGCGGGAUUUCGGAAACUCUACCGAAACUGUGUUUUUAGAGGAUUUAAAAGUCGUAACAAGGUUAGCGUAUGUGAACCUGCGGAAGGGAUC